UGUAGUAAUUGUAGAAGUUCAGGG
rnacentral:miRNA from 1 species